UACGUAGGUGGCAAGCGUUGUCCGGAAUUAUUGGGCGUAAAGCGCGCGCAGGCGGUUUCUUAAGUCUGAUGUGAAAGCCCCCGGCUCAACCGGGGAGGGUCAUUGGAAACUGGGAAACUUGAGUGCAGAAGAGGAAAGUGGAAUUCCAAGUGUAGCGGUGAAAUGCGUAGAGAUUUGGAGGAACACCAGUGGCGAAGGCGACUUUCUGGCCUGUAACUGACGCUGAGGCGCGAAAGCGUGGGGAGCAAACAGG
rnacentral:rRNA from 1 species